AUUGUUUUCUGUCUUCUAGAUUCUACACACACCAGAAGCAAACUUCUCACCUUUGGAUGUUCCAGGUAGACUGCUGAACCCUGCCUGCUUGAAUCUGUGCCACAGCAACUGUUCAGUACAUGAUUAUGGAUCAAGAAAAGUCCAAAAAUUAUUAGGUAUAAGAUAAAUUAGCUCUGGAAAAGCCCGCUUGGGGGAAAAAAAAAACACAACAUGAACAAUCAGGAAAGAAAUAUUUACCUUUGC